UACAGAAGGUGCUAGCGUUGUUCGGAAUUACUGGGCGUAAAGCGCACGUAGGCGGAUGUGCCAGUCAGGGGUGAAAUCCCGAGGCUCAACCUCGGAACUGCCUCCGAUACAGCACGUCUCGAGUCCGGAAGAGGUGAGUGGAAUUCCUAGUGUAGAGGCGAAAUUCGUAGAUAUUAGGAAGAACACCAGUGGCGAAGGCGGCUCACUGGUCCGGUACUGACGCUGAGGUGCGAAAGCGUGGGGAGCAAACAGG
rnacentral:rRNA from 1 species